rnacentral:tRNA from 1 species
GGGGCCGUAGCUCAGUUGGGAGAGCGCAGCGUUCGCAACGCUGAGGUCAGGGGUUCGAUCCCCCUCGGCUCCA